ACCAUGAACAACAAAUUUCAACUCCUUGAGCCUUCUGUCAGGCUACCUCUUCUCUAUUAAGAAAAUAAACAACAUAACUUUUCAAUCUAUCAGCUGUUUUGCACUAUUUAAAAUUGCCUAGUGAAGGAGGAACUGGGUUUGUUAAUAGUACUGAGGGUCUAGCUUCACCAUGUCCUAUCUGUUUGUGCUACCUUAGCACAUAGCACCUGCUCAUUCAAGUAUUAUCAGAUGGCUGGAUGGACGGAUAAUUGCCCUCCUUUGAUUUCUUUGUCUCUGAACAACACAUGUAUAUAUACACAUAUAUAUGUACAUUUCCCACUAUGUACAUAUAUGUUUAACAACUACAACAUGUGUUAUAUACUGACACUUUGCAUUGUAUAUACAUAGAAGAUGCGUGCAUUUUUUUUUCCUGAUAUCUUCUGCAAGGAUAUAAUCCAUCUCUAACUUCAACUGUUCUUACUGAUUGCAUUCCUCCUGUUGGUAAUUUCUUUCUUUCUUUUUUAGAUUAUGUAAAACAGAAUAAGGAAGUAUCUUUCCUGGGAAAAAAUUUCCUGAAAAGUAACAAAUGACAUCAUUUGCAAACUGAAAUAGAGAGGAACAAGGGAGGCAGUUUGUAUCAUCUCACCCACCACAGAGCAGUUCAGACCUGCAGGCUACUGAGGUGUCCCCUCUGACAUCCUGUCAAUGAAAUGGAAACCCUUGCCUCAUGAAAUCAUUUGGCUGUGCAAGACUUGCUGUCCUUAAUACAAGAAGGUUUUCUUCCUUAAAUUUUUAAAUCUCAUCACUAGUGUGCCAACUAAACAUCAGUUUUUUAAUUACCUUCACAUUCAGAGCAGCAUUUCAGCACUGGAUAGGCUGAUCUUGUAAACUAUUCUGAAUGUCUCCUGACCAGUGUUUCAUUGGGGGCUCCCAGUCCUAUACCUACUUAGAUUCUGAAUUAUUGGAAGUUAGAAGCCCUUGAAGGAGAGCUGUGUUCAAGAAAGUCAGAAAGGAGUUAUGCUGAAAGGUAGAGUUGCACACUUAUUUGGAAUUUGGCAACAAAUAGGUAAAGUCAAACCCAGAUCUUUGCUCCAGGACCCAUCCACUCUGGCAGAUCUCCCUUUAAGUCACUGAGAAAGUCACAAAAUGGAGCCUGGGCUUUAGCCCCCUUCCUGAGUACACAUCGGCAAUCUACCAAGUAGUGGUAACAUUCAAUGCUUCUUAUAGGGAACCUACAAAUAGAAUGACCACUUCAUUUAUCAUCCAAGUUGGGACAUUUUGACAGUGAAAGGGGCGCAACUAAUAACUACCUUGGCUUGAUAGGUAUAAACUGGGAAUGUCCCAGGCUAACCAUGAUGGUAACCCUAUGCAAAAGUUAUAUUUCUAUGAAAGAAACUGAAAGUGAAAGUCACUCGAUGGUGUCCAACCCUUUGGGACCCCAUGGA